rnacentral:rRNA from 1 species
UUCUUGGAUACCGUAAGUACUCUAGAGCUAAUACAUGCAUCAAUCCCUGACUUCCUGGAAGGGGUGUACUUAUUAGAUGGAAACCAAUGCGGGUUCGCCCGGAUCCUGGUGAUUCAUAAUAAUUUUCGGAUCGAUCAAUUGAUCGAUGCAUCAUUCAAGUUUCUGCCCUAUCAGCUUUGGAUGGUAGGGUAUUGGCCUACCAUGGCAUUAACGGGUAACGGAGAAUUAGGGUUCGAUUCCGGAGAGGGCGCCUGAGAAACGGCGACCAGUUCCAAGGAAGGCAGCAGGCGCGUAAAUUACCCAAUCCUGACACAGGGAGGUAGUGACAAUAAAUAACAAUGUCGGGCCUUCGGGUUUGACAAUUGGAAUGAGAACAAUUUAAAAUCCCUUAUCGAGGAUCAAUUGGAGGGCAAGUCUGGUGCCCAGCANCCGCGGGUAAUUCCAGCUCCAAUAGCCGUAUNC